AGAUGCUCUGAAAAGAUGGAUGUCAAACACCAGGGUGACCCAGUACCGAGCUCUUCUCCUGGACCAGCCCCGCAUCUGAUUCCAUAAGACAUUGGCCAUCAACCCUGCCAGCCUGCUCCCAGACGAUGAUCCAGAGGAGCCAUCCAUGACCGCAUAGAGGUAACAGACGCAGCUUGCCCAGAUUUGACAGAUGUCCCAUUAUCAUCACCAAACAAGGUACUGUUAUGUACAAAAUGGGACAGUGGGAGGUGGUAGUCAGCCUAGACUGCGCAAGGAAACUGAGCUGCAGACCAAGCUGCCAAGGAAGCCACCCCAAAACCAGUGGGGCCUUUAUAAGAGAAUGUAUUGGCAGAACAGAAGGACCAGAGGACCAAAUGGUUGGUGGACUCUACCAGAUGGCAGACUGUUGGUCCCAGAGGCUCUAGGUCAGAUUUUAGUUGCCCAGUUACACCAGGCUACCCACAUAGGUGUCACCAAGACUUCUGAACAUUUGUGAGGCAGGUCACAGGUAAAUGCAAGGUAAGGGGGGUCCCCCUGGGAAUUCAGGCCCUGGGAAACUCCCCAGGAGAACAUUGGGAGGUAGAUUUCACAGAGAUUAAGCCACCGGCAUCAGGGUAU